GCGGUGGCGAUGAAGGCGGAGACGACGCGGCGGCCUGUCACGCCGGAGGUCGCGGGUUCGAGCCCCGUCACUCGCGCCA
rnacentral:tRNA from 1 species